UGGGGAAUUUUGGACAAUGGACGCAAGUCUGAUCCAGCCAUGCCGCGUGCGGGAAGAAGGCCUUCGGGUUGUAAACCGCUUUUGUCAGGGAAGAAACGAGUUUCUCUAAUACAGAGACUUAAUGACGGUACCUGAAGAAUAAGCACCGGCUAACUACGUGCCAGCAGCCGCGGUAAUACGUAGGGUGCAAGCGUUAAUCGGAAUUACUGGGCGUAAAGCGUGCGCAGGCGGUCAUGCAAGACAGAUGUGAAAUCCCCGGGCUCAACCUGGGAACUGCCUAUGUGACUGCAUAGCUAGAGUACGGUAGAGGAGGAUGGAAUUCCGCGUGUAGCAGUGAAAUGCGUAGAUAUGCGGAGGAACACCGAUGGCGAAGGCAAUCCCCUGGACCUGUACUGACGCUCAUGCACGAACGCGUAGGGAGCAAACA
rnacentral:rRNA from 1 species